UGUUAAAAUUUUCAUCAAUUUGUAUUGUUAAAAACUGACGUGAUUAACGGAAUAAUUAGAUAGUGACAUGUGGUGUCCCACGUAUAUCUCAUGUUAAUAUACAAAGAUCAAUUUUUAACAGUAGAAAUGAAAUAAAUUUCUAGUA
rfam:Gossypium raimondii Chr01_contig_1228, whole genome shotgun sequence.